GCCUGGUUAGCUCAAUUGGUAGAGCAACUGAUUUGUAAUCAGUAGGUUGCGAGUUCGAGUCCCGCACCAGGCACCA
rnacentral:tRNA from 1 species